GUAGAUGUGUAUAGGGGACAGGGAUACUGGAGUGAUGGAGGUAGAUAUGUAUAGGGGGAAGGAGACAGGGAUACUGGAGUGAUGGAGGUAGAUAUGUAUAGGGGACAGGGAUACUGGAGUGAUGGAGGUAGAUGUGUAUAGGGGACAGGGAUACUGGAGUGAUGGAGGUAGAUAUGUAUAGGGGACAGGGAUACUGGAGUGAUGGAGGUAGAUAUGUAUAGGGGGAAGGAGACAGGGAUACUGGAGUGAUGGAGGUAGAUAUGUAUAGGGGACAGGGAUACUGGAGUGAUGGAGGUAGAUAUGUAUAGGGGGAAGGGGACAGGGAUACUGGAGUGAUGGAGGUAGAUAUGUAUAGGGGGAAGGAGACAGGGAUACUGGAGUGAUGGAGGUAGAUAUGUAGAUAUGUAUAGGGGACAGGGAUACUGGAGUGAUGGAGGUAGAUAUGUAUAGGGGACAGGGAUACUGGAGUGAUGGAG
rnacentral:lncRNA from 1 species